rnacentral:rRNA from 1 species
ACGGAAGGCAGCAGUGGGGAAUAUUGCACAAUGGGCGCAAGCCUGAUGCAGCGAUGCCGCGUGAGGGAAGAAGGUUUUCGGAUUGUAAACCUCUGUCAACAGGGACGAUAAGGACUGUACCUGUGAAGGAAGCUCCGGCUAACUACGUGCCAGCAGCCGCGGUAAUACGUAGGGAGCAAGCGUUAUCCAGAAUUACUGGGUGUAAAGGGAGUGUAGGCGGGACUGUAAGUCAGAUGUGAAAUAUGCCGGCUCAACUGGCAGACUGCAUUUGAAACUGCGGUUCUUGAGUGAAGUAGAGGUAAGCGGAAUUCCUAGUGUAGCGGUGAAAUGCGUAGAUAUUAGGAGGAACAUCAGUGGCGAAGGCGGCUUACUGGGCUUUAACUGACGCUGCGGCUCGAAAGCGUGGGGAGCAAACAGGAUUAGAUACCCUGGUA